CAGCAGCCGCGGGAAUACAGAGGGUGCGAGCGUUAAUCGGAUUUACUGGGCGUAAAGCGUGCGCAGGCGGUUAUAUAAGACAGAUGUGAAAUCCCCGGGCUCAACCUGGGAACUGCAUUUGUGACUGUAUAGCUAGAGUACGGCAGAGGGGGAUGGAAUUCCGCGUGUAGCAGUGAAAUGCGUAGAUAUGCGGAUGAACACCGAUGGCGAAGGCAAUCCCCUGGGCCUGUACUGACGCUCAUGCACGAAAGCGUGGGGAGCAAACAGGAUUAGAUACCCGCGUAGUCCCUGUCUCUUAUAC
rnacentral:rRNA from 1 species